rnacentral:ribozyme from 12 species
UGAACAACAAGAAAAAGAAAAGAAAAAAAAAAAGAGCGAAAAAAAC